UAGAGUUUGAUCAUGGCUCAGGACGAACGCUGGCUGCGUGCUUAACACAUGCAAGUCGAACGCUGAAGCCCGCAGCUUGCUGUGGGUGGAUGAGUGGCGAACGGGUGAGUAACACGUGAGUAACCUGCCCCCGACUUCGGGAUAAGCCCGGGAAACUGGGUCUAAUACCGGAUAUGACAACCGAAGGCAUCUUUGGUUGUGGAAAGUUUUUUCGGUUGGGGAUGGGCUCGCGGCCUAUCAGUUUGUUGGUGAGGUAAUGGCUCACCAAGACGACGACGGGUAGCCGGCCUGAGAGGGCGACCGGCCACACUGGGACUGAGACACGGCCCAGACUCCUACGGGAGGCAGCAGUGGGGAAUAUUGCACAAUGGGGGAAACCCUGAUGCAGCGACGCAGCGUGCGGGAUGACGGCCUUCGGGUUGUAAACCGCUUUCAGCAGGGAAGAAGCCCCUUGGGGUGACGGUACCUGCAGAAGAAGUACCGGCUAACUACGUGCCAGCAGCCGCGGUAAUACGUAGGGUACAAGCGUUGUCCGGAAUUAUUGGGCGUAAAGAGCUCGUAGGUGGUUGGUCACGUCUGCUGUGGAAACGCAACGCUUAACGUUGCGCGUGCAGUGGGUACGGGCUGACUAGAGUGCAGUAGGGGAGUCUGGAAUUCCUGGUGUAGCGGUGAAAUGCGCAAAUAUCACGAGGAACACCGGUGGCGAAGGCGGGACUCUGGGCUGUAACUGACACUGAGGAGCGAAAGCAUGGGGAGCGAACAGGAUUAGAUACCCUGGUAGUCCAUGCCGUAAACGUUGGGCACUAGUGUGGGGGACAUUCCACGUUCUC
rnacentral:rRNA from 1 species